rnacentral:rRNA from 1 species
CCUACGGGUGGCAGCAGUGAGGAAUAUUGGUCAAUGGACGAGAGUCUGAACCAGCCAAGUAGCGUGAAGGAUGACUGCCCUAUGGGUUGUAAACUUCUUUUAUAUGGGAAUAAAACGUUCCACGUGUGGGAUUUUGUAUGUACCAUAUGAAUAAGGAACGGCUAACUCAGUGCCAGCAGCCGCGGUAAUACGGAGGAUCCGAGCGUUAUCCGGAUUUAUUGGGUUUAAAGGGAGCGUAGGUGGAUUGUUAAGUCAGUUGUGAAAGUUUGCGGCUCAACCGUAAAAUUGCAGUUGAAACUGGCAGUCUUGAGUACAGAAGAGGUGGGCGGAAUUCGUGGUGUAGCGGUGAAAUGCUUAGAUAUCACGAAGAACUCCGAUUGCGAAGGCAGUUCACUGGACUGCAACUGACACUGAGGCUCGAAAGUGUGGGUAUCAAACAGGAUUAGAUACCCCGGUAGUC